GAUCAAACUGUAAUUUACUUAUCUGAAUAUUUUAGAGAUAAGAUUCAGUAAAUCAAGUUUAAAACUAAUUACUGUCACUCACUCAAUAUGUGCAAAACUGAGUUUACUGACCAGGAAUUGACUUUUUUUUUUUAUUUAUCAAGGAAAUAUUAAUUGAGUUAUCAAUCCCAAAGGAAAAUAUGUGAAAAUAUUUAAACACUCGCCAAAUUAUAUUAAUUGAUCUUUAUAUCAAUAAAUGCUUUACUCUAGAAAAAAUCGGUUUCGGUAAUAUACUACAAAGGAACCUAAAUAGAUUUUGAAGCUUUAUACAUAUAAGAAAACAUUAAUUUUCUAAAAGAUACCAAAUGAUAAUUAACAAGGACGUCGAUUUUCGUUAUUUUGAACUUUCAACGAGAAAUGUCAGUGGAAGAUUCAACAUAUUUUCUAUGAGAUAAAUUAGAUAUAAUAACAUUUUGCUUUUGACAAUAACUGAGAAAAAUCAUAUUUAUACCUAGAUUUGUUGAGUGAUACGAAUUUCAUACAAUUUAAUGGGGGUAAACUGCGAUUAAAAUUACGUUUUGGUCCUUUGUAUUGUCUUAUUGAUAUGAAAUAUCAGACACGAAUAUUUUCAUACUAAGUGGUAAUAAUUAAUUUACAACUGACCUCGGAUUCUCUUUUCGUUUGAAAUUAAAAUAAUACUUAAUUAUUACAAUUGG